GCCCGCAUGGCUCAGUGGUAGAGCGUGUCACUAGUAUCAUGCUAUGACAAGGUCGUCAGUUCGAUUCUGGCUGUGGGCA
rnacentral:tRNA from 1 species